ACCUGCCGGCGAAGCGCUGGUUGAUUUGGAACUGCGAGCCGUCUUCCAUCGCCGUUGCCAUGCACAAGCGGUCGACCGCUGUUGGUCAAAGGUCAGAGGCCAGAGGCCAUGAUCAGCCUCCUACCAAUCGGCGGCCGGAGAAGUCACGUGAUCACCCCAACCUGUGUAGACCCAGUUCUUCAUAUGUCAAAGCUGCGAGAAGACGUAGACAUCGCAAUUACUACCUUCCCCUGUGAUUGUUAUGAAUUUGUCUCUGUAACAGCCCUGAGGCGCAGGGCUAGUGUGAAGUCUACCAUGGGAACUCAGACUCUCUGGUGUCAAAAACAAAUGAAAGCAGCCUCUUUUGUACAGCA